AGCGUCAGCGGCGCUGGCUCGGCCGAGUGAACGAUGUUACGGACUACGGUAUCGCGACACGUUAUCACUCAUGCCUUGUCCGGCGUCGUCGUCGUGCACUUCUCCUCUAGUAGAACGUCGCGACCCGUUGGGUGCCGGUCUACGGUCCGAGCGGUAGACUGUCGCGUCGCUUCGGCGCACGCGUCAGACCCUCGGUCGCCCGGCCGGCUGCCCGGCGGUCGAACUUAUAAGGUAUCUUGCCGCAAUUGUAAAACUGCGUCGGGCCCGCCGCAAGCGCGGUCAGUGUCUC
rnacentral:rRNA from 1 species